CCUUGUACACACCGCCCGUCACACCAUGGGAGUGGGUUGUACCAGAAGUAGGUAGCCUAACCGCAAGGGGGGCGCUUACCACGGUAUGAUUCAUGACUGGGGUG
rnacentral:rRNA from 1 species